ACAUGUUGGAGCUGCAACCUCUUCAAAUGCUUCUUCUUUCUUCCAGAAAAACCAAGAUUUUAUUUCAAAAGCUACUGAACAUGAAUUGAAUUCCCACAGUCCGUGACACCACUUCAAUUUGCUGUACAUGCGUUUUUUUAUGUAUAUGUUGGGUGUAGCCCGUGACAAUCUUUUUUAAUAUGUGCAACAUUUUUUUCUUUCUCUUGCUGGCGGUGAGCUUCUCAUCAUCAAUCAACAAAAUUAAAUCACCUCAUCUAAUAUUUAUUUCCCAUGUGCUCUUUAUUCUAGUCCAUCACCAUGUCCACCCCAAAUAUGAAAUCUACACCUCCUUUCUCAUUUAAGCUUAGAAUAAAAUUGAUGUGGCAGUUCUCUUUAAGUUCCAAAAUAUUAUCAAACAAUUUCCCUACAAUUAGUAAUGCAAAUA
rnacentral:lncRNA from 1 species